CCUACGGGAGGCAGCAGUAAGGAAUAUUGGUCAAUGGACGCAAGUCUGAACCAGCCAUGCCGCGUGAAGGAUUAAGGUCCUCUGGAUUGUAAACUUCUUUUAUUUGGGACGAAAAAGGGCCUUUCUAGGUCAACUGACGGUACCAGAUGAAUAAGCACCGGCUAACUCCGUGCCAGCAGCCGCGGUAAUACGGAGGGUGCAAGCGUUAUCCGGAUUCACUGGGUUUAAAGGGUGCGUAGGCGGGUAGGUAAGUCAGUGGUGAAAUCCUAGAGCUUAACUCUAGAACUGCCAUUGAUACUAUCUAUCUUGAAUAUUGUGGAGGUAAGCGGAAUAUGUCAUGUAGCGGUGAAAUGCUUAGAUAUGACAUAGAACACCUAUUGCGAAGGCAGCUUACUACGCAUAUAUUGACGCUGAGGCACGAAAGCGUGGGGAUCAAACAGGAUUAGAUACCCUGGUAGUCCACGACCUAACUAUANAUACUACACAUUAGUAGAUACACAUAAUAGUNUG
rnacentral:rRNA from 1 species